CCAAACUCCUACGGGAGGCAGCAGUAAGGAAUUUUCGGCAAUGGAGGAAACUCUGACCGAGCAAUGCCGCGUGAACGAUGAAGUAUUUCGGUACGUAAAGUUCUUUUAUUAGGGAAGAAAAGAUGGUGGAAAAACCAUUAUGACGGUACCUAAUGAAUAAGCCCCGGCUAACUAUGUGCCAGCAGCCGCGGUAAUACAUAGGGGGCAAGCGUUAUCCGGAAUUAUUGGGCGUAAAGGGUGCGUAGGCGGUUAAAUAAGUUUAUGGUCUAAGUGCAACGCUCAACGUUGUGAUGCUAUAAAAACUGUUUAGCUAGAGUUGGAUAGAGGCAAGUGGAAUUCCGUGUGUAGUGGUAAAAUGCGUAAAUAUACGGAGGAACACCAGAAGCGAAGGCGGCUUGCUGGGUCUUAACUGACGCUGAGGCACGAAAGCGUGGGGAGCAAACAGGAUUAGAUACCCUGGUAGUCCACGCCCUAAACGAUGAGUACUAAACGUUGGAUAAAACCAGUGUUGAAGUUAACACAUUAAGUACUCCGCCUGAGUAGUACGUACGCAAGUAUGAAACUUAAAGGAAUUGACGGGACUCCGCACAAGCGGUGGAUCAUGUUGUUUAAUUCGAAGGUACCCGAAAAACCUCACCAGGUCUUGACAUGCUUUUGCAAAGCUGUAGAAAUACAGUGGAGGUUAUCAGAAGCACAGGUGGUGCAUGGUUGUCGUCAGCUCGUGUCGUGAGAUGUUGGGUUAAGUCCCGCAACGAGCGCAACCCUUGUUGUUAAUUGCCAUCAUUAAGUUGGGAACUUUAGCAAGACUGCCAAUGAUAAAUUGGAGGACGGUGGGGACGACGUCAAUCCAUCAUGCCUCUUAUGACCUGGGCUAACAACGUGAUAACAUUGCUGUUACAAAGGGUAGCUAAGGUGUAAGCUUCUGGCGAAUCUCGAAAAAGCAGUCUCAGUCGGAAUUGAAGUUCGUAAUUCGACUUCAUGAAGUUGGAAUCGCGAUGAAUUGCGCCGCAAUCUGUCGCGGUGAAUACGUUCUCGGGG
rnacentral:rRNA from 1 species